rnacentral:rRNA from 1 species
AAGAAGCACCGGCUAACUCCGUGCCAGCAGCCGCGGUAAUACGGAGGGUGCAAGCGUUAAUCGGAAUUACUGGGCGUAAAGCGCACGCAGGCGGUUGGAUAAGUUACAUGUGAAAGCCCCGGGCUCAACCUGGGAAUUGCAUUUAAAACUGUCCAGCUAGAGUCUUGUACAGGGGGGUAGAAUUCCAGGUGUAGCGGUGAAAUGCGUAGAGAUCUGGAGGAAUACCCGGUGGCGAAAGCGGACCCCUGUGACAAAGACUGACGCCUCAGGUGCGAAAGCGUGGUGAGCAAACAGGAUUAGAUACCCUGGUAAUCCACGCCGUAAACGAU